rnacentral:rRNA from 1 species
CCUACGGGCGGCAGCAGUGGGGAAUAUUGGACAAUGGGCGAAAGCCUGAUCCAGCCAUGCCGCGUGUGUGAAGAAGGCCUUCGGGUUGUAAAGCACUUUCAGUGGGGAAGAAAGCCUUGGGGCUAAUACCCUCGAGGAAGGACAUCACCCACAGAAGAAGCACCGGCUAACUCCGUGCCAGCAGCCGCGGUAAUACGGAGGGUGCGAGCGUUAAUCGGAAUUACUGGGCGUAAAGCGCGCGUAGGCGGUCUGAUAAGCCGGUUGUGAAAGCCCCGGGCUCAACCUGGGAACGGCAUCCGGAACUGUCAGGCUAGAGUGCAGGAGAGGAGGGUAGAAUUCCCGGUGUAGCGGUGAAAUGCGUAGAGAUCGGGAGGAAUACCAGUGGCGAAGGCGGCCUUCUGGACUGACACUGACGCUGAGGUGCGAAAGCGUGGGUAGCAAACAGGAUUAGAUACCCUGGUAGUC